UAAGAUAAAUAGAGCUAAAUGUAAGCUCAGUCGUUCUCAGGUGAAAUGCAUUACUUGUCUAUUUAGUUAGUGCAUUACAAAUAAUUGAUGUUUCAAAAUAAAAGAUUUCAAUCAAGCACUUUAAAUAAACAAUACUCGUGUCAUUUUAACUUAAAUGUAUGCAUAAUUUGAUAGCAUUGCAAAGUGAACAUGACAUGAAAUAAGAUGUCAUCAUUAAUAAUGCUUGUUUCCUACCUGUGCGGUGAAUGAAUGUGUUUCCUUCUACAGCCUUCUCAUCGUGGAGGUGGUCCAAGUGUCCUCGGCAGAAACACCCGUCACACACUGCCCUAAAGCCCGCAAAGCAGAUAGACAUCAUGGCCGAUUGGAUACGGGAUACAGGAGCUCACAAUAUUAGUGUCCUGCAAAACAGUGCAAAUUGUGAGACUGCGAGUCCACUUGGGUCACGGGAUUAUCAAUUGGAAGGCGUCACAGUUCUGAGCACUUCCCGCAGGUAAAGUAC